rnacentral:rRNA from 1 species
UAGGGAAUCUUCCACAAUGGACGCAAGUCUGAUGGAGCAACGCCGCGUGAGUGAAGAAGGCUUUCGGGUCGUAAAACUCUGUUGUUGGAGAAGAAUGGUCGGCAGAGUAACUGUUGUCGGCGUGACGGUAUCCAACCAGAAAGCCACGGCUAACUACGUGCCAGCAGCCGCGGUAAUACGUAGGUGGCAAGCGUUAUCCGGAUUUAUUGGGCGUAAAGCGAGCGCAGGCGGUUUUUUAAGUCUGAUGUGAAAGCCCUCGGCUUAACCGAGGAAGCGCAUCGGAAACUGGGAAACUUGAGUGCAGAAGAGGACAGUGGAACUCCAUGUGUAGCGGUGAAAUGCGUAGAUAUAUGGAAGAACACCAGUGGCGAAGGCGGCUGUCUGGUCUGUAACUGACGCUGAGGCUCGAAAGCAUGGGUAGCGAACAGGAUUAGGAUACCCUGGUAGUCCAUGCCGUAAACGAUGAAUGCUAGGUGUUGGAGGGUUUCCGCCCUUCAGUGCCGCAGCUAACGCAUUAAGCAUUCCGCCUGGGGAGUACGACCGCAAGGUUG